UACGUAGGGGGCUAGCGUUGUUCGGAAUUACUGGGCGUAAAGCGCACGUAGGCGGAUAUUUAAGUCAGGUGUGAAAUCCCGCAGCUCAACUCCGGAACUGCCUUUGAUACUGGAUAUCUAGAGACCGAGAGAGAUAAGUGGAACUCCUAGUGUAGAGGUGGAAUGCGUAGAUAUUAGGAAGAACACCAGUGGCGAAGGCGGCUCACUGGCUCAUAACUGACGCUGAGGUGCGAAAGCGUGGGGAGCAAACAGG
rnacentral:misc_RNA from 1 species